rnacentral:rRNA from 1 species
GAUGAACGCUGGCGGCGUGCCUAAUACAUGCAAGUCGAGCGAACAGACGAGGAGCUUGCUCCUUCGACGUUAGCGGCGGACGGGUGAGUAACACGUAGGUAACCUACCUAUAAGACUGGGAUAACUUCGGGAAACCGGAGCUAAUACCGGAUAAUAUUUCGAACCGCAUGGUUCGAUAGUGAAAGAUGGCUUUGCUAUCACUUAUAGAUGGACCUGCGCCGUAUUAGCUAGUUGGUAAGGUAACGGCUUACCAAGGCAACGAUACGUAGCCGACCUGAGAGGGGGAUCGGUCACACUGGAACUGAGACACGGUCGAGACUCCUACGGGAGGCAGCAGUAGGGAAUCUUCCGCAAUGGGCGAAAGCCUGACGGAGCAACGCCGCGUGAGUGAUGAAGGUCUUCGGAUCGUAAAACUCUGUUAUUAGGGAAGAACAAACGUGUAAGUAACUGUGCACGUCUUGACGGUACCUAAUCAGAAAGCCACGGCUAACUACGUG